AGAGUUUGGAUCCUGGCUCAGGAUGAACGCUGGCGGCGUGCCUAACACAUGCAAGUCGAGCGAUCUUCUUCGGAAGAGAGCGGCGGACGGGUGAGUAACGCGUGGGUAACCUGCCUCAUACACAUGGAUAACAUACCGAAAGGUAUGCUAAUACAAGAUGAUAUAAGAGAUUCGCAUGGAUUUCUUAUCAAAGCUCCGGCGGUAUGAGAUGGACCCGCGUCUGAUUAGCUAGUUGGUAAGGUAACGGCUUACCAAGGCGACGAUCAGUAGCCGACCUGAGAGGGUGAUCGGCCACAUUGGAACUGAGACACGGUCCAAACUCCUACGGGAGGCAGCAGUGGGGAAUAUUGCACAAUGGGCGAAAGCCUGAUGCAGCAACGCCGCGUGAGCGAUGAAGGCCUUCGGGUCGUAAAGCUCUGUCCUCAAGGAAGAUAAUGACGGUACUUGAGGAGGAAGCCCCGGCUAACUACGUGCCAGCAGCCGCGGUAAUACGUAGGGGGCUAGCGUUAUCCGGAUUUACUGGGCGUAAAGGGUGCGUAGGUGGUUUCUUAAGUCAGGAGUGAAAGGCUACGGCUCAACCGUAGUAAGCUCUUGAAACUGGGAAACUUGAGUGCAGGAGAGGAAAGUGGAAUUCCUAGUGUAGCGGUGAAAUGCGUAGAUAUUAGGAGGAACACCAGUAGCGAAGGCGGCUUUCUGGACUGUAACUGACACUGAGGCACGAAAGCGUGGGGAGCAAACAGGAUUAGAUACCCUGGUAGUCCACGCCGUAAACGAUGAGUACUAGGUGUCGGGGGUUACCCCCCUCGGUGCCGCAGCU
rnacentral:rRNA from 1 species